rnacentral:rRNA from 1 species
AUUGAACGCUGGCGGCAUGCCUUACACAUGCAAGUCGAACGGCAGCGGACCUUCGGGUGCCGGCGAGUGGCGAACGGGUGAGUAAUAUAUCGGAACGUACCUUUCAGUGGGGGAUAACGUAGCGAAAGUUACGCUAAUACCGCAUAUUCUGUGAGCAGGAAAGCAGGGGAUCGCAAGACCUUGCGCUGAUUGAGCGGCCGAUAUCAGAUUAGCUAGUUGGUGAGGUAAAGGCUCACCAAGGCGACGAUCUGUAGCGGGUCUGAGAGGAUGAUCCGCCACACUGGAACUGAGACACGGUCCAGACUCCUACGGGAGGCAGCAGUGGGGAAUUUUGGACAAUGGGCGCAAGCCUGACCCAGCCAUGCCGCGUGAGUGAAGAAGGCCUCGGUUGUAAG